AAAUCAUUAAAACCCAAAAUACAUUACAGUAUCCCAAUCCCAUCCCCACAUUCUUCCCCACACACUGACGUAAACCCCUUCAACCCUCCACCACUUACCCCUUACACCUACCUGAACGUCACAACCUCCAUUUAACCGCCGACCACCCUACUACCUCCUCCCCAUCCACCGCCGUCGACCACCUCACUUCCCCUCCUCUGCCGUUAACCCCUAACCACCUCCUCCCCACCGCCGCUCACCACACCUCCCCAUCCCCACUGAUUACCUACUACACCUCCCCACCAUCGUAACCCUAAUGCACCUCAACCCUAAUUCACCUCCUGUUUACUCCCUCCUCACCUCGCCAAAACCGUAUUCCCUCACCACCUAUUUAAUUUGGUCACCAUAACCACCGAUUCACCUCUCAUCACGAUCACCACUCCCACCGCCGAUACCCUGUUUAUCCACCAUAACCACCGAUUCACCUCACCUCCGCCAUUAAUCUGAUCCGUGGGAUUCAAUUCGAAGUGGGGUUCCAUUUUGUGGCCGUUCUUGUCAAAUUCUGUUCCAAGUCUCGAUCAUAAGUUUUACAGGAUGUCAGGUGAAGGCUCCUCGUUAGGCACCAAAUGCAGGCGAGGUGCUUCAACGAGAUCUCAGGGGGCUGCUCAGGAGCAGCCGGCUGAUUUACCACUGAGAGUGGUUAGUUAUCGUGGAGCAUGGUCUGAGAUGAGGAGUAGAUGGUGUGGUUUGAGGAUGAUGCAGCAGUGAUCGAGCAUACCGUUUUGUUAUAUUUUUCUUUUAUGCUGUUUUCAUCAUAUCUUGGUCUGUACUAAUAUUUUAAACAGGUUGGAUGGGUUUUGGGGUUGGUUGAUACAAUUGUGGAUGGUUGUUGAACGUGAUAUUAUAUAUUAUUUUUUGCUAGUGUUUGGUGUUUGCUUGAUUAGGUUGGUAUUUGUAGCCGCUUUCGUUCGCGUGUCCGAGGUUAGAGUUGUUUGCUGAGCGCGUAUCGAAUUGGAGGGCUUAUGUGGAAACGACUGGCACUUUGAUAGUCUCACAUACUCAGCUAAGUCGUUUCCCUUUUUGUUGUUGUUGUAUAUUUUUAUUUAUUUCGUUUCUAGUUUUUAUUUUUAGGUAGUUGUUGAGUCGUGUUUUCGUUCUUGCAUUAGGGACAAUGCAAUCUCUAAGUGUGGGGAUGGGAUACUUGUAAAUAUUUGAGUCAUAAAUAUGAAAAAAAAACACACAAAAAAAAAAUUAAAAAAAUUGAAAAAAAUUAAAAAACCAGAAAAUGUCCUUUGAAAUAACAGAAGUUUGCAAUUAAAGCGGAAAAUGAUAGAAAAGACAAAUUUUUGCUCGGGUUCGAAUAAUAAUAAUAUGAGAUAAAAUAAAUCGAGCUUGUGUCUAGUUAGGGAUAUGUGGAUAGGCCCGGGUUUGGUUUUAAGUCCCUUUGAGCUAAUAUACCUUAAUUGUCGGUUUACUAGUGGGUUUUCACCUAGGAGAUAUGGGAAAUCAAAACUGUCAAUAAGAGUAUAAGGGACACCGUUAUAAGUUAAAACCGUUAGAGUUUGUGAUCAUAAAAAAUAAAAGAAUAAAAAAAUGAGCUAGAAACUAAAUGAAAGUAGUGCAUUCCUAUGUAGUCUGGGCUGGGGAUAGCGACUCUACAGCCGGAUUACCGCUAGGGUGUGUGAAAUCGAUCGUGCAAAGAAAAGAAAAAAAGUACCGAAGCCUAAGUAAUCUGUGGUUGGGGAUAGCGACUCUACAGCCGGAUUGCCUCUUGGUUAGGGAAAGCAUCGUCUACGCUCAUGAAAGAAAAAAAAGAGAAAGAAAAGCGAAAAAAAAUGGAAAAAGAAAAAAAAUAUGAUUGUAAACUCUCUUGGUUUUGAUAUAAGACGGUUAGGAAUUGGUUCAGUGAUCGUUCUUUUAGUCCUAUAAGCUUGAGGCGGGAGUAGAUGGACCGUAGAUUCUAGUGUGAGACCCUAGGUAGACUGACCGCACUUAAAUUAAAUUCACAUGAUAAGGGCUUAGGAUUGGAUUCGGGUUUAAGGGGACAAGUAUAUUCGCAAUCGCAGCUAACGCAAGUCUUGGUUUUAAUUAAAUAUACCUAUGCUUUUGACCCGAGUGAAUAUUUGUCUAUGAUUCCGUUGCAUAAUUCUUUUUCAAGGACGAAAAAAGAGUAAGUGUGGGGAUGUUUGAUGUAUUGCAAAAUACAUCUUUUAUUCGUGUAAAGUUUGUAUAGUUUUCGUUAUAUUUAGUUUUGAUUUUCGUUAGAAUAUGCAUGCUAUUAAUUAAAUCGUGUUUCGCAGGUCUUGAUGUUCAAAUAUGCGAGAAAGCGAGUAAAAAUAUUGAAGUGUCAAGUCUUGAAGCAUGUUGGAAAGGUCGAUGAGUUGAAAUAGAGUUAAAGAGCUGAAAAAUCACUCUCUGGCACCCCAUCACCCACUAAGCAAGUCUGUGGCACCUGCCGAGAGUCUGAAGGUAGUACAUGAGCUGAAAAACAAGGUGGCACCCCACCACCCAGUCCCUGAUUUUGUGGCGCCCAGCCAGAACGUUGUAGCUGGCAAUUAUUACGAAUUUAAUAAGGGUUUGUUAUGGAAAGUGAUAUAAAAACAUCUUAAACUUGGAAAAGAAACCCUAAUUCGACUUUGGGGACUUCUUGGGCAAUCGUUGAGCAUUCUUGGAGAUUUUUCGGAGAUCUUGAAGCCUAGGAAUCAUCGGUACGAGUUCGGGGAAGAAGACUUGAAGAUCUAAUCGGGUUUUCUAGUUCUUUGUUCUUGUCUUUUCUUACGAAACUUGUUACAAUGAAUUCUUUGUUGAACUUCUUUGAAUUGUUUUCGUUUAUGAACAUGCUCGGCUAGAUUUAUUAACCGCCUAGACUUGAUGAAUGGAUUGAUAUAACGUUUUUA